UUGCCAUCAUUCAGUUGGGCACUUUAAAGAGACUGCCGGUGGUCAAACCGGAGGAAGGUGGGGAUGACGUCAAGUCCUCAUGGCCUUUAUGCCCAGGGCUACACACGUGCUACAAUGGGCGGUACAAAGAGCAGCUAACUCGCGAGAGUAUGCAAAUCUCAAAAAACCGUCCUCAGUUCGGAUUGGAGUCUGCAACUCGACUCCAUGAAGCCGGAAUCGCUAGUAAUCGCGGAUCAGCAUGCCGCGGUGAAUACGUUCCCGGGCCUU
rnacentral:rRNA from 1 species